CACCAUAAUGUCUCAAAUGACACAGCUCCUUAAUGAAAGAGUAACCUGCUGACUGAUUAAUUCCAUAAUCUUUGUCAUUCACACCAUGAGAAACCCAGAAAAGAAUUAUUAAUUACUUCUAGUCCAAAUUGGGAGACAAAUUCUGGCAGCCCUAGUAGGAGCCCACCACUUUCAGGCAGGCUGAUGGUGUCUUCUGGGGUCACUCUAUCAGCACGUGGAACCUUCUUAGUCAAGGAUGCUACUGCUACUGCCAAUUAAGCUUCGCUUCUUGGCUGUGGCUCUGGACCUUUGGCUGAACUUCAAAAUGUCACUGACAAGACUGAAACUGUCGAAUCACUCAGAUGUUCUUGUGAUCAAUUCUCCUCUUAGAUGACAACCAAACUUUGAGAAUAUGUAUCCCUUGUAAGGCUUCACGACCAGCCUUGAUUUCUCUCUCUCUCACAGCCAAUGUAUUGAACGAGAUCCAAGAAUAGAGGUGGCUUCAACCAUGAAAAGAAAUGCAUGAAAACAGAGCACAAAGGGAAACAAAUAAAAAGGUCCUCAAAGGAAGAUUCACAUCAUGAGUCAUCAGUGAACCUUCCUAUUAGGUGAGGAAAGACAGCAUCAAAUGCAAAUAUUGGUGGGGUUCUCGGACAUUUCAUAGUCACAAAUAGAAACAGAACAUAUUAAGAUUGACAAUGGCAGGUAUGAAUUCAGGAUUAUAUCUCAACAAGCAACAAGUGGCCUUCAUUAUCCACCCCAAGCAAAACAACA
rnacentral:lncRNA from 1 species